rnacentral:tRNA from 1 species
UCCCUGGUGGUCUAGUGGCUAAGACACAGAGCUUCUGAUGCAGGGGGCCCAGGUUCGAUCCCUCGUCAGGGAA